rnacentral:rRNA from 1 species
CAAUAGCGUAUAUUAAAGUUGUUGCAGUUAAAAAGCUCGUAGUUGAAUUUUUGCUUGCCGCCGAUGUCGGAACUUCCGUACGUUCGGCGGCGUGCAUCCUUGGGUGGAACCUGUGUGGCAUUAGGUUGUCGUGCAGGGGAUGCUCAUCGUUUACUGCGAAAAAAUUAGAGUGUUCAAAGCAGGCUUACGCCGUUGAAUAUAUUAGCAUGGAAUAAUAAGAUAGGACCUUGGUACUAUUUUGUUGGUUUGCGCACCGAGGUAAUGAUUAACAGGGACAGUUGGGGGUAUUCGUAUUCCAUUGUCAGAGGUGAAAUUCUUGGAUUUCUGGAAGACGAACUACUGCGAAAGCAUUUACCAAGGAUGUUUUCAUUAA